rnacentral:rRNA from 1 species
CGCGGCCUAUCAGCUUGUUGGUGAGGUAAUGGCUUACCAAGGCGACGACGGGUAGCCGGCCUGAGAGGGCGAUCGGCCACACUGGGACUGAGACACGGCCCAGACUCCUACGGGAGGCAGCAGUGGGGAAUAUUGCACAAUGGGCGAAAGCCUGAUGCAGCGACGCCGCGUGAGGGAUGAAGGCCUUCGGGUUGUAAACCUCUUUCAGCAGGGAAGAAGCAGCCGGGUUCUCUUGGUUGUGACGGUACCUGCAGAAGAAGCACCGGCUAACUACGUGCCAGCAGCCGCGGUAAUACGUAGGGUGCAAGCGUUGUCCGGAAUUAUUGGGCGUAAAGAGCUUGUAGGCGGUUUGUCGCGUCUGCUGUGAAAUUUCGGGGCUCAACCCCGAACUUGCAGUGGGUACGGGCAGACUAGAGUGUGGUAGGGGAGACUGGAAUUCCUGGUGUAGCGGUGAAAUGCGCAGAUAUCAGGAGGAACACCGAUGGCGAAGGCAGGUCUCUGGGCCACUACUGACGCUGAGAAGCGAAAGCAUGGGGAGCGAACAGGAUUAGAUACCCUGGUAGUCCAUGCCGUAAACGUUGGGAACUAGGUGUGGGCCUCAUUCCACGAGGUCCGUGCCGCAGCUAACGCAUUAAGUUCCCCGCCUGGGGAGUACGG